UACAUGUAUGAUGGUUUGUGGGCAACUUGGGUCAAGUCAAGUUUCUAUAAAUAUCCAAGCGUAUUAUCUAGUUAGUCCUGCGUGCCAUUUUGCUGCAAUUUGUACCCGCAGGAUAAUGAGUGCUGGAGGCAAGCAAAAGUCCAAAAACAAAAUCUAGUCGCAUUAAAAUACCAUGUAGGCACCCUAAUGAUAAAUCCUUCUAGAGCAAACUUCGACCAGGGGAAGUGAUCGUUUAUAUAUGUGAUUUUGAGAAUUUUAUUGUGUAGAAAAUUUUCUGGUCUUCCUUUUUCAAAGGUUCAUGAAUUGCAGUGGC
rnacentral:sRNA from 1 species